ACGUCAGAACUGUUUCGGUCUUCCAUCAGGGUUUCCCCUGACUUCAACCUGAUCAAGUAUAGUUCACCAUCUUUCGGGUCACAGCAUAUAUGCUCAGGGUACGUUCCAGUUCCAGUUAGAGAUAUAAAUAAUAUAAAUAUCAUUAUACAUAACUAUAUAGAACGCCCCGGGAUUGUGUUAAUAAACUAUAAAAUGUAUAAAAGCUAAUCCCAAAGUCAAGUUAAUUUCGCCAUUAGGUUU
rnacentral:rRNA from 1 species